rnacentral:rRNA from 1 species
GAUGAACGCUGGCGGCGUGCCUAACACAUGCAAGUCGAGCGAUUCUCUUCGGAGAAGAGCGGCGGACGGGUGAGUAACGCGUGGGUAACCUGCCCUGUACACACGGAUAACAUACCGAAAGGUAUGCUAAUACGAGAUGAUAUGCUUUUAUCGCAUGGUAGAAGUAUCAAAGCUCCGGCGGUACAGGAUGGACCCGCGUCUGAUUAGCUAGUUGGUAAGGUAACGGCUUACCAAGGCGACGAUCAGUAGCCGACCUGAGAGGGUGAUCGGCCACAUUGGAACCGAGACACGGUCCAAACUCCUACGGGAGGCAGCAGUGGGGAAUAUUGCACAAUGGGCGAAAGCCUGAUGCAGCAACGCCGCGUGAGCGAUGAAGGCCUUCGGGUCGUAAAGCUCUGUCCUCAAGGAGGAUAAUGACGGUACUUGAGGAGGAAGCCCCGGCUAACUACGUGCCAGCAGCCGCGGUAA